CCCUUCUGCUUGUGUCUAAUCUCCAUUGCGGACGUUAAAACCAUGCAAUGACUGAAGAAAAAGGCAACCAUCUGCGGCUUCGAAGCAAGAUACUCAACCACAGCUGAGACUUUCUUUGUCUACCCCCCACUCCCGCCUCGAGGGAGGCCCACGUGAAGAAGAUGCAGAUUUCCAGAGCCAUAAAUUAAGGGGCGAUUAGUCACGUUGCAAUCUUUCUUCAAAGGAUUCUUUAAAGGCUCCUUCAUUGAAGUGUUUACAGCACAGUAACUUGCAGACUGAGAGGCUGGGGUGGGGGGUGGGGGUGGGGUGCCAUCAGGGGAACAGCCAGAGAACAGAGAAGACACUGGGAGAAACGUUGGGAAGGCCCUCCCACGGGAGCCACCCUGCGGAGAACCUGACAGACAAGAUUUCAUGGAUUCAGCAGUGGGUCGCCCUGCACCCGCUUGGUGGUGCAUGUAUCCCCGCUGCUGGGGAAGUGAAUAGAAGAAUAAAAAACCAGCAGUGCCAUCUCUUCUCCCCCUCUUUUUCCUGGAACUCUGAAGUUUGGCUUUUGUUGGAUUAAUGACCCCUAAGUUCCCACCUCGGUUUCUGGGAUCAAGUCCCUUAGCCACUCAGCACCUUGGCCCACUGGGCAGCCGGCUGACAGUGAGGGCUGAGCUCACGUGGCAGCUGUGGGGGGCUCAAUGGAGUCUCUUCUGAAGGUGGAGACAGGUCUGCUGGAGCCCAGACUCACCCCCUCUGGAGCCAUUACACAACCUGCUGUCCCGUCACUUC
ensembl:lincRNA Gm13001 predicted gene 13001